rnacentral:rRNA from 1 species
AUUACUCCUACGGGAGGCAGCAGUGGGGAAUUUUGGACAAUGGGCGAAAGCCUGAUCCAGCAAUGCCGCGUGCAGGAUGAAGGCCUUCGGGUUGUAAACUGCUUUUGUACGGAACGAAAAGCUUCGGGUUAAUACCCUGGAGUCAUGACGGUACCGUAAGAAUAAGCACCGGCUAACUACGUGCCAGCAGCCGCGGUAAUA